rnacentral:lncRNA from 1 species
CAACUCUCUGGCCCCAGUUUCCUCCUCACCCUCUCGGGGCCCAGGUGUUCCUUCGGAAAUCCCAGCUUCUCCACCGCCUGGCCAAGCGUGACUCCUCUUUCAAUCCCCGCAGCUAGCAGGAGCAAAGAGUUUCAGAUUUAUCGAUUCCGAUCCUGGGAGUACCUUUCUGAUCCCUCUGUCUUCACCAAAUCGGACUUCUCAAAAACUUACGGCUGCAAGAUUGGAAAAGUGAGCCCCAACGCAAAAGGUGGGUAUAUUAGGUUACCAUUCUGCAAAGACACAGAUGGGUGGGAUUCAUGAGUAAGUACGGCAAAGUCGGGCACCACUGGCUUGGAAUCAUAUGACCACAAAGUGCAGUGCCAUGUAUCAUCAUAUCUACAUUCUACCCAAUUCAUCUAUGGGACAAUUAAUUUCUUAUUUUCAAGCUCGGUAGUCACCUCCAAAUAAGAAACCAAUCAACAUGUUCUUUUCCUCUCUCUAAAGAGCUAGCAGAGUUAUUUUUGUUGUUAAUGAUGGUAUUUUGUACACAGUGAGUUUAUAACAUUUGACUCUGUGUGGAAUAAUGAUAAACAGACCGUCGCCUCACUUCCCAACUGUGUCUGUAAAACUUUACACUCCUUUUCAUCCAUGAACUUUGUAAACUGAUUCCAGCUCAUUUCCAAACCAAACUAUCCUUUGGUCCCAGAAUUUUGUUUUGCUUUGCAUAACAUAUGGCCAGGUUUCUACAUUUUGAAUAGUAAGAAUUUUUUCCUGUCCUGACCUCUCAGAGACAAGGCUCUUUCAUUGUUUCUUCCAUCAUCCAAAUGUAUAUAUCAUUUUAAUUGUGGAAAAAUGCCAGGAAGAAAAAUGGAAAGGUUUUCUUAAACUUUUUUUUAAAACCAUCUAAAUUAUGAAUCCCAUGCCUUUCCUGUUAUCAGACAAAUGCCUCUUAAGAUUCUAAUCUGCCCAGAACACAUCACAGGCUACAAUUGUUUUUGUCAUCCUAGAGAUAGAAUCAGUUGUUGGAAUGCAGCAUAGAGGCCUGUAACUUUUCUGAUGGAUUGUUACCUCCAGUACUCUAAUAGGGGUUGCCACUUAAAAACGUAGGUUGCUCAGCCUCAUUCUCCUGUUAGUAUUUGCGUGACUCUUCCCCUUUAAUGGUUCAGAGACUUCAUCUGGAUGCUGUCUGAAUCCUAUUUCUGGGAAGGGAAGGGGUUCCAGCUCCACCCCCUCGUUGGACAGCUGUGGGGCAGUUGAAGGAAGCCCCAGAGAGCAGCCCUUGGGAGCCUCAUGGCAAUCGGCAGCAUCCAGGUGGGGGACAAAGGGGUGUGGGGGCGGAGUGAAGAUGGGGCAGGAUUCCCAGGUAGCAGCUUGGCCAGUCUGGAGGCACACAUGAGC